UCUAACCCUAGAAAAUACAUUUUUAGAAGUAAAAUAAAUGAGUUUAUUUUUCCAAAUCUACUGGUUAAAUUCAAAUGUACAAAUAUGUAGCAAUACAGUGAUAAUAAAGGAUUCUUAUGGAGAUAAGAAACGAGAAUACACCAAGAAAAAUGGAGAGAAAUAAUACCGAUUUUACUCCGACUUUCAGUGAAAGUCUGGGCCAAGAAAGAGUAAAGCUAGAGCAACAAGAUUCGAAUCCACUUGAAAAAACGAAUCCGUUAGAUGGUUUUUGCUUAUAAUUAUUGUCUUUAAAGUCAUUCCUUCAAAUACCUCUUCAGAAAAUUAUGCUGUCCAACAUUCAUAUCCAUGGACUCGAUGCUGUACCUCCCAAACCUGCUUUUUUCUUUGAUAUAAAGAUAAUUUGAAAUUACUCUUUUGGAAAUGCAUUAUUAUUAUGGAGAUAUGAUUGCAGUGUAUAAGAAAUGUUAGCAAGUUACUGGAAAUAUGAACAUCCGGUAUACAUCAGAAAGAAAAUUCUAUAGAAAAAUCAACGAGCAAUCCAAUGACAUGCUAUUUGGGCUGUAUAAUAUGUCUAAAAAUAAAUUUAUAAUUAAUUGUGUUAAUUGUAUUUAUAAACUAAUAUUUUUCUAAUAAAUCUUAAUAAAGUU